GUUAUUGGCUACGGAGUGUUUCUCACAUGCUGCACCCCCAGCCUGCCCGCUGGCAGGACAGAGCAAGAAGAUGAAAAGUCCUUGCCUUGGUGUAAGCACUGCUCUGCAACAAUUAAAACAUCAGCAUGUUAUCAGCACUCUUCUCAUCCUAAGCCAAAACACAGAUACCAGCUACUAGGAAGAAAAUUAACUCUAUCCUAACUGAAACCAGGACAUCACUGUCACGUACAACUGAAACACAAAUCACGUUCUACAGUAAAAAAAGAUUACUCUGAAGCUGUCAGUGAACAUGACCAGACGCUGGGGGGAUGCAAACCCAUGGCUGGGAUACCACACAGGCCUUCCCAUGGGGCAGCAGCAAUGUGCUGAGCACGCAGGAGGGGGCUGGUGGGCUUUGUGAAUCCCAAGGGAAGAGGCGUGCCUGCGUGCAGCCCUGGACUGGAUCUCUCCCAUAUCUGCCACUUUUACUGAGGUGGGUCAAUUUUUUUUGUUGGUUGGCAGGUGCCUCACUGCACUGCUCUCAAUUGCUUUUAAGGGUCAGUGGUAGCUCACCACACUUCGUGAGGAAAGAUGGGGCUCCAAUGAGUUAUGCCAAGCUAGGCACUGCAAUACUGCAUGUUAGUAUCAUCUGCAAGGCUGCCUGAAAUGUUUUUUAAUGUUGAAGUUCAGAGUGGAAUGCAUGGCAUCUGGAGCAGAAAGGUUUCAGUAGCUCUCGAGACGGAUUGUAGAGCACACAGCAGCUUUUACAACCUGCAAGUAGGAUUACUUCAGCUGUCUCCAGCUUGUACCAGAAGUUUCACACCACUGUGUCAAAGGACAGAUAUAGAUUACAUCAAAGCUGCAGCAAGAGAAGCUGCUUGUGGUUGCAUCAAUAUGAGCCAGCCACGUCUCUUUCAAUGCCUGAGGAUUAAUGGCCAUUUUAAUGGAAGCCUUGGAUUAAUGUAAAUGCCAUCACCUUGUAACCAAGACAGUAUUGCUUUGUGGUAUUUCUGCAAAGCUACCUUUUGCUUUAAUAAUCUGGAUUUUGGAAUUGCAGUACCUCCUUUAAAUAUGAUUUUCCACCCCUGUGGGUCCUCGAGUAUGUUCCUAAUCAUGUUCGACCUGUCAGCUGCUAUCUUCAAUGCGGUUGCUGGCAUUUAACCAUGUAAUAAAUGACUGAGUCCCAAAUAGGAUUGCA
rnacentral:lncRNA from 1 species